rnacentral:rRNA from 1 species
UAGGGAAUCUUCGGCAAUGGACGAAAGUCUGACCGAGCAACGCCGCGUGAGUGAAGAAGGUUUUCGGAUCGUAAAACUCUGUUGUUAGAGAAGAACAAGGACGUUAGUAACUGAACGUCCCCUGACGGUAUCUAACCAGAAAGCCACGGCUAACUACGUGCCAGCAGCCGCGGUAAUACGUAGGUGGCAAGCGUUGUCCGGAUUUAUUGGGCGUAAAGCGAGCGCAGGCGGUUUCUUAAUUCUGAUGUGAAAGCCCCCGGCUCAACCGGGGAGGGUCAUUGGAAACUGGGAGACUUGAGUGCAGAAGAGGAGAGUGGAAUUCCAUGUGUAGCGGUGAAAUGCGUAGAUAUAUGGAGGAACACCAGUGGCGAAGGCGGCGCUCUGGUCUGUAACUGACGCUGAGGCUCGAAAGCGUGGGGAGCAAACAGG